rnacentral:lncRNA from 1 species
AAGACAUACAUGGAGCGUGGAGGGUCCACUGUGGGCCACUGUCCUGCUGUUGGGGUGAGGGAGCAAAGACAGGAUCAAGAGGGCGUGAAACCGUUAAGAGGUAAACGGAUGGGGUCCGCGCCGUCCGCCCGGGCGCACUUCCUCCGGCUGCGGUGCGCCGCGACCGGCUCUGGGUCGGCUAGGAAGGGCUCGGGGGUGAAGGUGGCUACCCGCUUCGGCGGAGAGCUUUACAGCACCCCAUCGUCCCGACUUCGCCGUUUUCAGGGGGCCCUGA